rnacentral:rRNA from 1 species
UACAGAGGGGGCGAGCGUUAUUCGGAAUUAUUGGGCGUAAAGGGCGCGUAGGCGGCUCUUCAAGUGACGGGUGAAAUCCCUCGGCUUAACCGAGGAACUGCCUGUCAGACUGGGGAGCUUGAGACCGGGAGAGGUGAGUGGAAUUCCCAGUGUAGCGGUGUAAUGCGUAGAUAUUGGGAGGAACACCUAUGGCGAAGGCAGCUCGCUGGGACGUUACUGACGCUGAGACGCGAAAGCGUGGGGAGCGAACAGG